rnacentral:rRNA from 1 species
UACGAAGGGUGCAAGCGUUACUCGGAAUUACUGGGCGUAAAGCGUGCGUAGGUGGUUUGUUAAGUCUGAUGUGAAAGCCCUGGGCUCAACCUGGGAAUGGCAUUGGAUACUGGCAAUCUAGAGUGCGGUAGAGGGGUGUGGAAUUCCCGGUGUAGCAGUGAAAUGCGUAGAUAUCGGGAGGAACAUCUGUGGCGAAGGCGACACCCUGGACCAGCACUGACACUGAGGCACGAAAGCGUGGGGAGCAAACAGG